rnacentral:rRNA from 1 species
AUUGAACGCUGGCGGCAGGCCUAACACAUGCAAGUCGAACGGUAACAGGAAGCAGCUUGCUGCUUUGCUGACGAGUGGCGGACGGGUGAGUAAUGUCUGGGAAACUGCCCGAUGGAGGGGGAUAACUACUGGAAACGGUAGCUAAUACCGCAUAACGUCGCAAGACCAAAGAGGGGGACCUUAGGGCCUCUUGCCAUCGGAUGUGCCCAGAUGGGAUUAGCUAGUAGGUGGGGUAACGGCUCACCUAGGCGACGAUCCCUCGCUGGUCUGAGAGGAUGACCAGCCACACUGGAACUGAGACACGGUCCAGACUCCUACGGGAGGCAGCAGUGGGGAAUAUUGCACAAUGGGCGCAAGCCUGAUGCAGCCAUGCCGCGUGUAUGAAGAAGGCCUUCGGGUUGUAAAGUACUUUCAGCGGGGAGGAAGGGAGUAAAGUUAAUACCUUUGCUCAUUGACGUUACCCGCAGAAGAAGCACCGGCUAACUCCGUG